UCCACUAUUCCCCACAACUGGGGAAAAACACAUAAUCGCUUCUUUUAAAAACAAUAAAUGAGGAAAGCCAAUCUGUACUUCCAGAAAAAGGUGAAGAAGAGGGUCAGGAAGCUUUGCCUAGGACUGUGGCCAGACGAAUCAGCCCUAGGAUUCGAGAGAGUGGAGACUGUAGGUGUUUGGAUCUAUGCGAGACAGCAAAUUUUGGCAGUAAUCUACGAAACAAUAAAAAAAAUCAGGAAGAUAUAUGCCAAACUAUGGAACACAAGCAACCUGACAUCAGAAAAAAAAUAAUAAAAUAGAAGAAUCUUGAAAAUAAGAGUGCAUAACAGAAAAAAACAAGAUCAAUGAAAUCGGGAUUGAGAUUGUCCUGGUUCAUACUAUAAAACUAAGAAAAAUUUUAUUUGAAAAAGAAAUCACAAAGAAUUUCUCCUCCCAAUUUAAAUAUUAUCGGACUGUAAAAAAUCUCCCUCAAUUAAAAGAAGUUAUAUAUUCAACCA
rnacentral:lncRNA from 1 species